GUUGUGUCGGAGUGCCCUUCACGUGAUUGCAGCUUGUCCGCCAAGUGGUUCUGGUGUAGCGGGCAGGUGAUUUUGGCGUGUCCUGCAGGUGGGACCGGUGAGUCAAGCAGGUUGCACCGGCGAGUGUUUCCUGUGGUUCCGGUCUGUCCGGGAGAUGGUUCCGGCCUGUCCGGCACGUGCUUCUGGCACUUCUGAGAGGUUGUGCUCGCAUGCCCGGCAGGUGGUUCUGGAGUGUCCGCCAAGUGGUUCUGGCGUAGCCGGCUGGUGAUUUUGUGGUGUCCUGCAGGUGGUUCUGGCGAGUCAAGCAGGUGGUCCCGGCGUGUCCGGCAGGUGAUUCCGGUCUGUCCUGGAGGUGGUUGUGGAGUGUCUGCCGAGUGGUUCUGGUAUAGCCUGCAGGUGAUUUUGGCGUGACCGGCAGGUGGUUCCAGCAAGCGCGACAGGUGAUUCUGAAGUUUUCACCAACUGGUUGUGGCGUAGCCAUCAGGUGAUUUUAGCGUGUCCUGCAGGUGGGUCUGGCGAGUCUAGCCGGUGGUUCCGGCAUGCUUGGCAGUUGCUUCUGGACACUCCAGCACGUGGUUGUGGCACCUCAGAGACGUGGUUCUGGCAUGCCCGGCAGGUGAUUCCGGAGUGUCUGCCGAGUGGUUCUGGCGUUGCCGGCGGGUGAUUUUGGCGUGUCAAGCAGGUGGUUCAGGGGAGUGGAUCAGGUGGUUCCGGCAUACUCGGCAGGUGGUUCCGGCGAGUCCAGAACAUGGUUCUGGCAAGUCUGCGAGGUGGUUCCGCCUGCCCGACAGGUGAUCCCGGAGUGUCCGCCAAGUGGCUCUGGCGUACCCUGCAGGUGAUUUUUGCGUGUCCGGCAGGUGUUUCCUGUGAGUCGAGCAGGUGGCUCAGGCAUGCUCAGCGGGUGCUUCUGCCGUCUCCGGCAGGUUGUUCUGGUGUGUCUGAGAGCUGGUUCUGGCAUGUCCGGCAGAUGAUUCCGGAGUGACCACCAAGUGGUUCUGGCAUACCCAGCUGGUGGUUUUUGCGUGUCAGGUAGGUGGUUCCGGCGAGACGAGCAGGUGGUUCCAGUGUGCACGGCAGGUGGUUCAGGCGGGUCUGGCAGGUGGUUUCAGUCUGUUCGGGGUGUGGUUCCGGUAUCUCGGGCACAUGAUUCUGGCACGUCUGAGAUGUGGUUCCGGCAGGCCCGACAGGUGUUUCCGGAGUGUCCGCCAAGUGGUUCUGCCAUAGCCAGCAGGUGAUUUUGGCGUGUCCGGCAGGUGGUUCUGGGGUGUGGUUCAGGUGGUUCCGGCAUACUCGGAAGGUGGUACCGGCGUGUCCAGAACAUGGUCAUGGCAAGUCUGAGAGGUGGUUCCGGCAUGCCCAGCAGGUGAUUACGGAGUGUCCGACAAGUGGUUCUGGCGUACCCAGCAGGAGAUUUUGGCAUGUCCGGCAGGUGGUUCUGGCGAGUCAAGCAGGUGGUCCCGGUGUGUCCGUUGGUGCUUCCGGUCUGUCCUGGAGGUGGUUCCAGAGUGUCUGCCGAGUGGUUAUGGCGAAGCCGGCAGGUGAUUUUGGCGUGUCCAGCAGGUGGCUCUGGGGAGUGAAUCAGUUGGUUCCGGCAUACUCGGCAGGUGGUUCCGGCGUGUCCGGCACAUGCUUCUGGCAAGUGUGAGAGGUGGUUCCGGAAUGCCUGGCAGGUGAUUCCGGAGUGUUCGCCAAGUGGUUCUGGCGUAGCCGGCAGGUGAUUUUGCAUGUCCAGCGGGGGUUCCGGAUAGUCGAGCCGGUGGUUCCGGUGUGUCCGGCAGGUGGUUCCGGUCUGUCCGGCAGGUGGUUCUGGCGUGUCCGGCACGAGGUUCUGGCACAUCUGAGAGGUGGUUCCGGCAUGCCCGACAGGUGAUUCCGGAGUGUCCGCCACGUGGUUCUGGCGUAGCCUGCAGGUGAUUUUGGCGUCUUAGGCAGGUGGUUCUGGGGAGUGCAUAAGGAACUUCAGGCAUUCUCGCAGGUGCUUCCGCCGUCUCCGGCAUGUGUUUGUGGCACCUCUGAGAGGUGGUUCCAGCAUGCCCGUCAGGUGACUCCGGAGUGUCCGCCAAGUGGUUCUGGUGUAGCUGGCACGUGAUGUUGGCGUGACCGGCAGGUGGUUCCAACAAGCCCGGCAGGUGAUGCCGAAGUGUUCACCAACUGGUUGUGUGGUAGCCGGCAGGUGAUUUUGGCGUGUCAGGUAGGUGGUUCUGGCGAGUCAAGCAGGUUGUUCUGGUGUGCUCAGCAGGUGGUUCAGGCGGGUCUGGCAGGUGGUUUCGGUCUGUUCGGGGUGUGUUUCCGGCAUCUCAGGCACAUGGUUCUGGCACGUCUGAGAGGUGGUUCCGGACAGCCAGACAGGUGUUUCUGGAGUGUCCGCCAAGUGGUUCUGGCGUAGCUGGCAGUUGAUGUUGGUGUGACCGGCAGGUGGUUCCAGCAAGCCCGGCAGGUGAUUCCGAACUGUUCACCAACUGGUUGUGGUGUAGCCGGCAGGUGAUUUUCGCAUGUCCAGCCGGUGGUUCUGGCGAGUCGAGCAGGUGGUUCCAGCGUUCUCAGCAGGCUCUUCUUCUGUCAUUGGCAUGUGGUUCUGGCAAGUCUGAGAGGUGGUUCCAGCAUGCCCAGCAUCUGAUUCGGAGUGUCCGACAAGUGGUUGUGGCAUAGCCGGCUGCUGAUUUGGAUUGUCCGGCAUGUGGUUCCGGUCUGUCCUGGAGGUGGUUGCGGAGUGUCGGCCGAGUGGUUCUGGCAUAGCCGACAGGUGAUUUUGACGUGUCCAGCAGGUGUUCCUGGGGAGUGGAUAAGGUGGUCCCGGCAUACUGGGCAUGUGGUACCAGCAUGUCCGGAACAUGGUUAUGGCAAGUCUGAGAGGUGGCUCCGGCAUGCCCGACAGGUGAUUCCGGAGAGUCCGCCAAGUGGUUCUGUCGUACCCGGCAGGUGAUUUUGGCGUGCCCGGCACGUGGUUCUGACGAGUCAUGCAGGUGGUACCGGUGUGCUCGGCAGGUGCUUCCAGUGUCAUUGGCAUGUGGUUCUGGCAUGUCUGAGAGGUGGUUCCGGCAUGCCCGGAAGGUGAUUCGGGAUUGUUCACAGAGUGGUUCUGGCGUAGCCGGCAGCUGAUUUUGCAUGUCCUGUGGUGGUUCCGGCGAAUCGAGCCGGUGGUUCCGGCGUGUCUGGCAGGUGGUUCUGGUCUGUCGUGGAGGUGUUUCCGGAGUGUCUGCCGUGUGGUUCUGGCAUAGCCGACAGGUGAUUUUGGCGUGUACAGCAGGUGGUUCUGGGGAGUCGAACAGGAGGUUCCGGCAUACUCGGCAGGUGGUACCGGCGUGUCCGGAACAUGGUUCUGGCACGUCUGAGAGGUUGUGUCAGCAUGCCCUUCACGUGAUUCUGGCUGGUCCGCCAAAUGGUUCUGGUGUAGCAGGCUGGUGAUUUUGGCGUGUCCGUCAGGUGGCUGUGGCGAGUCUAGCAGGUGGUUCCAGCAUGCUCGGCAGGUGUUUCCGAUGUCAUUGGCAUGUGGUUAUGGCAUGUCUGAGAGGUGGUUCUGGCAUGCCCAGCAGGUGAUUCCGGAGUGUUCGCCAAGUGGUUCUGGCGUAGGCGGCAGGUGAUUUUGCAUGUCCGGCGGUGGUUCCGGAGAUUCGAGCCAGUGGUUCCGGCAUGUCCUGCAGGUGGUUCUGGUCUGUCCUAGAGGUGGUUGCGGAGUGUCUGACGAGUGUUUCUGGCGUAGCCGGCAGGUGAUUAUGGCGUGUCCAGCAGGUGGUUCUGGGGAGUGGAUAAGGUGAUUCCGGCAUACUCGGCAGGUGGUACCGGUAUGUCCGGAACAUGUUUCUGGCAAGUCUGAGAGGUGGUUCCGGCAUGCCCGACAGGUGAUUCCGGCGUGUCCAGGAUGUGGUUCUGGCACCUCUGAGAGGUGGUUCCUGCAUGCCAGACAGGUGAUUCUGGAGUGUCCGCUGAGUGGUUCUGGCGUACCUGGCAGGUGAUUUUGGCGUGUCCGGCAGGUGUUUCUUGCGAGUCGAGCAGGUGGCUCAGGCAUGCGCAGCAGGUGCUUCCGGCGUGUCGGGCACAUGAUUCUGGUGUGUCUGAGAGCUGGUUCUUGCAUGUCCGGCAGAUGAUUCCGGAGUUUCCACCAAGUGGUUCUGGCAUACCCGGCAGUUGAUUUUGGCGUGUCAGGUAGGUGGUUCCGGCGAGUCGAGGAGGUCGUUCCGGCGUGCUCAGCAGGUGGUUCAGGCGGGUCUGGCAGGUGGUUUCUGUCUGUUCGGGGUGUGGUUCUGGCAUCUCAGGCACAUGGUUCUGGCUCGUCUGAGAGUUGUUUCCCUUCGGCCGGACAGGUGUUUCCGGAGUGUCCGCCAAGUGGUUCUGGCGUAGCUGGCUGGUGAUGUUUGCGUGACCGGCAGGUGAUUCCGAAGUAUUCACCAACUGAUUGUGGCCUAGCCGGCAGGUGAUUUUGGCGUGUCUGGCAGGUGGUUCUGGCGAGUCGAGCAGGUGGUUCCAGCGUGCUCGGCAGGUGCUUCCGGUGUCAUUGGCAUGUGGUUCUGGCAUGUCUGAGAGGUGGUUCUGGCAUGCCCGGCAGGUGAUUCCGGAGUGUUCGCCAAAUGGUUCUGGGGUAGCCGGCAGGUGAUUUUGCAUGUCCGGCGGUGGUUCCUGCCAGUCGAGCCGGUGGUUCCGGCGUGUCGGGCAGGUGGUUCCGGUGUGUCCGGCAGGUGGUUCUGGGGUUUCCGGCACGAGUUUCUGGCACGUCUGAGAGGUUGUGUCGGCAUGCCCUUCACGUGAUUCCGGCUUGUCCGUCAAGUGGUUCUGGUGUAGCCGGCAGGUGAUUUUGGCGUGUCAGGUAAGUGGUUCCGGCGAGUCGAGCAGGUGGUUGCAGCAUGCUUGGCAGGUGGUUCUGGUUUGUCUGGCAGGUGGUUUCCGUCUGUUGGGGUGUGCUUCCGGCAUCUCAGACACAUGGUUCUGGCACGUCUGAGAGGUGGUUCCGGCCGGCCCGACAGGAGUUUCCGGAGUGUCCGCCAAGUGGUUCUGGCGUAGCUGACAGGUGAUGUGGGUGUGACCGGCAGGUGUUUCCAGCCAGCCCGGCAGGUGAUUCCGAAGUGUUCACCAACUGGUUGUGGCGUAGCCGGCACGUGAUUUUGGCAUGUCCGGCAGGUGGUUCUGGCAAGUCGAGCAGGUGGUUCUGGCGUGCUCGGCAGGUGCUUCUGGUGCCAUUGACAUGGGGUUCUGGCAUAUCUGAGAGGUGCUUUCGCCAUGCCUGGUAGGUGAUUCCGGAGUGAUCGCCAAGUGUUUCUGGCGUAGCCGGCAGGUGAUUUUGCAUAUCCGGCGGUGGUUCUGGCGAGUCGAGCCGGUGGUUCCGGCGUUUCCGGCAGGUGGUUCCGGUCUGUCCUGGAGGUGUUUCCGGAGUGUCUUCCUAGUGGUUCUGGCAUAGCCGGCAGGUGAUUUUGGCGUGUCCAGCAGGUUUUUUUGGGGAGUGGAUCAGGUGGUUCUGGCAUACUCGGCAGGUGGUACCGGCGUGUCCGGAACAUAGUUCUGGCACGUCUGAGAGGUUGUGUCAGCAUGCCCUUCACGUGAUUCCGGCUUGUCCGCCAAGUGGUUCUGGUGUACUGGGCAGGUGAUUUUGGCGUGUCUGGCAGGUGGGACCGGUGAGUCAAGCAGGUGGUUCUGGCGAGUGUUUCCUGUGGUUCCGGUCUGUCCGGGAGAUGGUUCCGGCCUGUCCGGCACGUGCUUCUGGCACUUUUGAGAGUUUGUGCUGGCAUGCCCGGCAGGUGAUUCUGGAGUGUCCGUCAAGUGGUUCUGGCGUAGCCGGCCCGUGAUUUUGGCAUGUCCGGCAGGUGGUUCUGUGGAGUGGAGCAGGAACUUCUGGCAUUCUCGGCAGGUGCGUCCGCCGUCUCCGGCAUGUGUUUGUGGUACCUCUGAGAGGUGGUUCCAGCAUGCCCAGAAGGUGAUUCCGGAGUGUCCGACAAGUGGUUGUGGCGUAGCCAGCUGGUGAUUUUGGCGUUUCCGGCACGUGGUUCUGACGAGUCAAGCAGGUGGUCCCGGCGUGUCCGGUCGGUGGUUCCGGUAUGUCCUGGAGUUGGUUGCGGAGUGCUCGGGAGGUCCUUCCGGUGUCAUUGGCAUGUGGUUCUGGCAUGUCUGAGAGGUGGUUCCGGCAUGCCCGGCCGGUGAUUCCGGAGUGUUCGCCAAGUUGUUCUGGCAUAGAGGGCAGGUGAUUUUUUCGUGUCAGGUAGGUGGUUCUGGUGAGUUGAGCAGGUGGUUCCGGCGUGCUUGGCAGGUGCUUCUGGUGCCAUUGACAUGUGGUUCUGGCAUGUCUGAGAGGUGGUUCCGGCGUGUCUGGCACGUGCUGCUGGUAUGUCUCAGUGGUGGGUCCUGCAUGCCCGGCCGGUGAUCCCGGAGAUUCCUCCAAGUGAUUCUGUCAUAACCGGCAGGUGAUUUUGGCAUGUUCAGCUGGUGGUUCCAGCCUGGUCGGCAGGUGCUUCCGGCGUCUCCAGCACGUGUUCCUGGCACAUCCGACAGGUGGUUCCGGCAUGCCCGAAAGGUGAUUCCGGUCUGUCCGGUAGGUCGUUCCGGAGUGCACAGCACGUGGUUCUGGUAGGUCUCAGAGGUGGUUGCGCAUGCCCAACAGGUGAUUCCGGAGUGUCCGGCAAGUGGUUCUGGCGUACCCGGAGGUGUUUUUGGUGAGUCCGGCAGGUAAUUCCGGAGUGUCAGGUAAGUGGUUCUGGUGUAUCUGGCAGAUCAUUUUGGCGCGUCCGGCACGUGGGUCCUGCAAGUCGAGCAGGUGGUUCCGGCAUGCUCGGCAGGUGGUCCAGGCGUGUCCGGCAGGUGGUUGCAGUCUGUCCAGGACGUGGUUCCAGCGUGUCCGGCACGUGGUUCUGUUACGUCUGAGAAGUGGUUCCUGCAUGCCCGGCAGGUGAUUCCGGACUGUCCACCAGGUGGUUCCCGCAUAGCCAGCUGUUGAUUUUGGACUGUCCGGCAGGUGGUUCCGGCGAGUCGAGCAGGUGGCUCCGGCGUGCUCAGCAGGUGGUUCCGGUCUGUCCGGUAGGUGUUUCCGGCGUGUCCGGCACGUGCUUCCAGCACGUCUGAGAGGUGGUUCCGCCAUGCGCGGCAGGUGAUUCUGGAGUGUCCGCCAGGUGGUUCUGGCGUACACGGCAGGUGAUUUUGGCGUGUCCGGCAGGUGUUUCUGGUGAGUCAAGCAGGUGGAUCCGGCAUGCUCGGCAGGUGCUUCCGGCGUGUCCGGCACGUGGUUCUGGUGUGUCUGAGAGCUGGUUCCGCCAUGUCCGGCACAUGAUUCCGGAGUGUCCGCCAAGUGGUUCUGGUGGAGCCGACAGGUGAUUUUGGCAGGUCCAGCAGGCGGGUCCUGCGUGUCGAGCAGGUGGUUCCUGCAUGCUCGGCAAGUGGUUCCGGCGUGUCCGGCAGGUUCUUCUGGUCUGUCUGGGAGCUGGUUCCUGCAUGGCUGGCAUGUUGUUCUGGCACGUCUGUGAGGUGCUUCGGGCGUGCCCGGCAGGUGAUCCCUGGGUGUCCGCCAAGUGGUUCUGGCGUCACCGGCAGGUUAUUUUGGUGUGUCCGGGAGAUCUUUCCUGCUUUUUGGGCUCGUGGCUCUGGCUUGUAAGACAGGUGCUUGUGGCAUUUCUGGCCCCCGUUCUUACAUACUCCUCAGCUGGUUUCAGUGUUUCUGGCACAUGUUUGCGGCAUAUCCAACAGGUGUUUACAAUGUGUCUGGCAUGUCGUUGUGCUGUGUUUGGAAUCAGGUUCGGUCAUGUCAUUGUGUGUGGCUGGCAUGUUGAAGAGAUGGUUCUGCAGUCUCAGAAUCGUUGUUCCACUGUGUCCGGCAGGUGGUUACAGGUGGUUCUGGCAUGCAACGUGGGUGCUUCUGGUAUGCCUGUUGGGUCGUACAGGCAUGAAUGUGUGGCUUUUUGAGAGUGUGCAGAGAGUGUUUUUGGCAUGUCUCCCGGGGUUUUCUGGCACAUAAAGGGCAUGAUUCCUUUUUAUACGUCAGGUGAGUUUGUUCUCAGCUUCCUAAAGAGAUGGAAGAAAGAUGGUCUGUGGCUUGUGGCCCCUUGAGGGGUGGAGCCAAUGCAUUGUGCAUUCCACGUCUAGAGCAAUGGAGGGCAUGGUUGAGAGCAAAAGGGUCUUUCUGACAUAGCUGCAUUCUGAGACUCUCUCCACCAGUGCACAAUGGUGGUUGGAAAAAGGUUUACAGUCUAUCGCCUCCUGAGCAGGUGGAUGCUAAAUCAUUUGGGACUCAGCCCAGUUGCUUCAGGGGAAGAUGUAGGCAUUUCAUCUGAGCAAGGUUGGCAAGGUAGAAUUGCAGCAGUGGCAGAAGUCCUAAAGCGGCAAAUUAAGUGCUGGGAAGAAAUGGCGUUUGAGCUGACUUUGUAUGAGAGUUUCCUCGUAUGCUGUAACAGCACUGUGGAAAGCGAGAUCUUUCUCAGCUUCCUACAGAGCUGGAAGCAGGACAGUUGAUGGCUUGUCUCCAAUUGAAGGAUGGAGAUAGUGCUUUGUGCCUUCCACCUCUGGAGCAAUGGAGGUCAUGGCUGAGAGCAAAGGGCCCUUUCUGACAUAGGUGCACUCUGACACUCUCAGCACCAGUGCACAAUGGCGGUUUGUAAAAAGCCUAUUGUCUGCUCCUGCUAAGCAUGUGGAAGCAGAAUCAUCUGGGCCUCGUGCCCGUUGCUGAAGGGGAAGAUGUAGGCAUUUUGUCUGAGCCAGGUUGCCAAGGUGGAAAUGUGCAGGAUGCAGAAGUCCCAGACUGGGGUGUGAAGUGAUGAAGGAAACGGUGUUCAGCCUCCUUUGUAUGAGAUGUUCCCAGGACGCUGUAAGGGCACUGUGGAAAGGGAGUUUUUUCUCAGCUUCCUACAGAGCUGGAAGCAGGACAAGAUGUUGUUUGUCUCCUAUUGAGGGGUGGAUCCAGAGCCAGUGCCUUGUGCCUUCCACCUGUAGAGCAAUGAAGGGCACGGCUGUGAGCAAAGGGGCCUUUCUGACAUAGCUUCUUUACGAAAAUCUCUCCAGCAGUGCACAUUGGUGGUUGGAAAAAGGCGUGCAGUCUAUCGCCUCCUAAGCACGUGGACGCUCAAUCAUUUGGGACUCAGCCCAGUUGCUUCAGGGGAAGAUGUAGGCAUUUCGUCUGAGCCGGAUUGGCAAGGUGGAAUUGUGGCAGAAGCAGAAGUUCUAAAGUGGCGAGCUAAGGCCUGGCAAGAAAGGCCGUUUGACCUUCAUUUGUAUGACAGUUUCCCCAUAGGAUUUUCCCAGGAGCCGAGCAGGUGUUUCUGGCAUUCUCGGCAGGAUGUUCGUGCGUGUCCGGCCGGUGGCUCCAGUCUGUCCAGGAUGUGGUUCCGGCGUGUCUGGCACGUGCUUCUGGUACGUCUCAGAGUUGGUUCCGGCAUGCCCGGCCGGUGAUCCCGGAGAGUCCUCCAAGUGAUUCUGGCAUUACCGGCAGGUGAUUUUGGCGUGUUCGGCUGGUGGUUCUGGCGAGUCGAGCAGGUGGUUCCGGUGUGCUCGGCAGGUGCUUCCGGGGUCACUGGCAUAUUGUUCUGGCAUGUCUGAGAGGUGGUUCCGGCAUGCCCGGCAGGUGAUUCCGGAGUGUUCGCCAAGUGGUUCUGGCAUAGCUGGCAGGUGAUUUUGCAUGUCCGGCGGUGGUUCCGGCGGGUCGAGCCGGUGGUUCUGGCGUGUCCGGCAGGUGGUUGCGGUCUGUCCGGCAGGUGGUUCUGGGGUGUCCGGCACGAGGUUCUGGCACGUUUGAGAGGCUGUGCCGGCAUGCCCCUCACGUGAUUCCGGCUUGUCCCCCAAGUGGUUCUGGUGUAGCUGGCAGGCAAUUUGGGCAUGUCCUGCAGGUGGGACCGGUGAGUCAAGCAGGUGGUUCCGGGGAGUGUUUCCUGUGGAUCCGGUCUGUCCGGGAGAUGGUUCCGGCCUGUCCGGCACGUGCUUCUGGCACUUCUGAGAGGUUGUGCUGGCAUGCCCGGCAGGUGGUUCCGGAGUGUCCUCCAAGUGGUUCUGGCGUAGCCGUCAGGUGAUUUUGCCAUGUCCGGCAUGUGGUUGCAGCGAG
rnacentral:lncRNA from 1 species